AAAUUUACCUGGCUACGGGUGCAGGGUGAGCAGCAAGGCCCUGGCCCUCGGCAAAGGAUAAGCAUUGCACUGCGCUGUGUUGAAGCCUGCUACUGACACUGAUCAGGCUCGCUCAGCUGCUUAGUUUUAGCCAGUAAAGAGCCUUAGGGCAUCC
rnacentral:snRNA from 9 species